GCACAAGCGGUGGAGCAUGUGGUUCAAUUCGACGCAACGCGAAGAACCUUACCAGCUCUUGACAUGCCCGGUAUGGGGUCGAGAAAUCGACUCCUUCAGUUCGGCUGGCCGGUGCACAGGUGCUGCAUGGCUGUCGUCAGCUCGUGUCGUGAGAUGUUGGGUUAAGUCCCGCAACGAGCGCAACCCUCACCUUCAGUUGCCAUCAGGUUAAGCUGGGCACUCUGAAGGAACUGCCGGUGACAAGCCGGAGGAAGGCGGGGAUGACGUCAAGUCCUCAUGGCCUUUAUGGGCUGGGCUACACACGUGCUACAAUGGCGGUGACAGUGGGACGCGAAGGGGCAACCCUUGGCCAAUCUCAAAAAGCCGUCUCAGUUCGGAUUGUCCUCUGCAACUCGAGGGCAUGAAGCUGGAAUCGCUAGUAAUCGCGGAUCAGCACGCCGCGGUGAAUACGUUCCCGGGC
rnacentral:rRNA from 1 species